CUCCCUUAGCCCGCCAGCAUGCUGCAUAUAAGGAGUUUGUCGAGCAUAGGAAUCUCGAGGUGCGGGAGUACUUGAAACGAGUGAAGGCAAACGAUGAUUACAACCGUCAGAUGAUGACGGCUAUGUUGGCGUCUUGGACUAACCGCACGGAUCCACCACAAAUGGGACCCCCACCACCACCUGCGGGAGAACCCCCACACGUGCCCACGUUCGAUGAAUGGGUGGCACUAGGCAGUGAUGGUUCGGGGACCGGUGGCUCGACUCCUGCUCCGUCGACCCCAGUCACUCCGAUCUGGCAGAGUGGUGGUGGUCGC